GUGGGGAAUCUUGCGCAAUGGGCGAAAGCCUGACGCAGCCAUGCCGCGUGAAUGAUGAAGGUCUUAGGAUUGUAAAAUUCUUUCACCGGGGACGAUAAUGACGGUACCCGGAGAAGAAGCUCCGGCUAACUUCGUGCCAGCAGCCGCGGUAAUACGAAGGGGGCUAGCGUUGCUCGGAAUUACUGGGCGUAAAGGGCGCGUAGGCGGACAGCUUAGUCAGAGGUGAAAGCCCAGGGCUCAACCUUGGAAUUGCCUUUGAUACUGGCUGUCUUGAGUUUGGGAGAGGUGAGUGGAACUCCGAGUGUAGAGGUGAAAUUCGUAGAUAUUCGGAAGAACACCAGUGGCGAAGGCGACCACCUGGACUGAUACUGACACUGAGGUGCGAAAGCGUGGGGAGCAAACAGGAUUAGAAACCCGAGUAGUCC
rnacentral:rRNA from 1 species